rnacentral:lncRNA from 1 species
UGGGAAGCCAGCUCAGAGCCACCAACCAGCCUCCAGAUUGUUUCCUUCAGGUCUGAUGCCUUUGCCUAGGAUGAUCCAGCAGGAUGAUAGAGCCACAUCUUGUGUUAUAAAUUAAGGGACCCACAUAGAAGGUGAUACCACUGGUGGAUGCAUGGCUGGAUGAAAACUCUAGAAACCAACAACCUCAGUGACUGAAGGAAGAUGAGUUGGACAAGAAAAAGUGAAAGAGGAGCAGCUAUGGUUCCCGCUGGAAGGAAACGGAAGACUUCAGUUCUCUGGAGGGAGCUUCUCCCGCAGCAUACAGGUUCUUGCUGGAACCCUGUUGCAUUUCCUCUGUAGGACACACAGGUUUAUCUAAGCUGUGAAAGCAACACAGAGAUAAGACCCAUGGUGUUUUCCUUGUUAGAAAAAAGCUGUCUACUUCCUGUCUGGAGAAACCAGGGACACUUGAUUUUGAAGGGACUUCAGCAAUGUAAGCACAAAAUCAGCCCCUUCUCUUUAAUUUAAAUUCCACCCUUCUCUUGGGUGACGGCUGUUUCUAAGUUAUUUAAAGAUUUAGAAAGUAGCUAGAAGGUCACUGGGUUUGUGGCGGCAUUGGCUUUUAAGCUUGUGCAAUAAAACCACAUUCGGCUUGUUCCCUAAGGUGAGGGCAGAAAUGACUGGACGGAAUGCCCACCUGCCCAUACAGUUUGAAGAGAACAGUCCAAGUUCUCAAAUAGUUCGAAACCUUUUAAGAAAUCAGAAAUAGUAGGAAACAUUGCAUCUGAAGUCACAGAAUAUGUUAAUAUUAACCCGUGUGGCUGGAAUAAAUGUGCAAGCUGAUGUGUUAAUCUCUGACGUAUUUGGAGAUAUUUCCUUUAUGUAAAUAAUUUAAACUGUCCACAAGAUAACUUCAUUUUCUACAGAGUCCGAUUUGAUUUUAACAUUUUUUGAAGAUCAUGGGAGUUUAUCAUUUUGUUUUUGGUUUCAUUCAAUGGUAGCAAUCUGAGAUAGUCACCUGCCCAUCCCAGGUCCAGUUGUGUAACUUUUAACAAGUUAU